GAGGGAUAUUCCCAUCUCCUGACAUAGUCCAGGUUUUCAUGGGUUGCUGGUUUAAUGUUGGAUUUGCACUGCUGACAGGAGCCACAGGCCUGCACAGCUGCCCAGCACCGACCGAUGUGCUGCCACACAGCCCUGUCCUUUCAUUGUUCUGGGUGUAAUGCUGCCAGGGCUGCAGCCAGCUCUAAAUGCCACAUAAUAGGUAGAUCCAUCCAUCCAUCUGCUUUGUUACACGUCGCCCAGCUUGGCAGUGUUUCUGUUGCUAUUAAACCGUGCUCAUCCCCCUUGACAUUUAAAAGGCCGUUAGAUGAUUACUGUCACAGUCUUGUAUGUGGUGCCUUAAACCAAUUCUCUCCUCCUCUGCUCA